rnacentral:rRNA from 1 species
CAGCAGUAGCCGCGGGAAAACGUAGGUGGCAAGCGUUGUCCGGAAUUAUUGGGCGUAAAGGGCUCGCAGGCGGUUUCUUAAGUCUGAUGUGAAAGCCCCCGGCUCAACCGGGGAGGGUCAUUGGAAACUGGGAAACUUGAGUGCAGAAGAGGAGAGUGGAAUUCCACGUGUAGCGGUGAAAUGCGUAGAGAUGUGGAGGAACACCAGUGGCGAAGGCGACUCUCUGGUCUGUAACUGACGCUGAGGAGCGAAAGCGUGGGGAGCGAACAGGAUUAGAUACCCCAGUAGUCCCUGUCUCUUAUAC